rnacentral:rRNA from 1 species
CACGUAGGGGCCAAGCGUUGUCCGGAUUUAUUGGGCGUAAAGAGCUCGUAGGCGGUUCGACAAGUCGGGUGUGAAAACUCCGGGCUCAACCCGGAGACGCCACCCGAUACUGUCGUGACUGGAGUCCGGUAGGGGAGUGGGGAAUUCCUGGUGUAGCGGUGAAAUGCGCAGAUAUCAGGAGGAACACCAGUGGCGAAGGCGGCACUCUGGGCCGGUACUGACGCUGAGGAGCGAAAGCGUGGGGAGCGAACAGG